rnacentral:rRNA from 1 species
UACGCAGGGUGCAAGCGUUGUCCGGAAUUAUUGGGCGUAAAGAGCUCGUAGGCGGUUUGUCGCGUCUGCUGUGAAAACUCGGGGCUUAACUCCGGGCCUGCAGUGGGUACGGGCAGACUAGAGUGCGGUAGGGGAGACUGGAAUUCCUGGUGUAGCGGUGAAAUGCGCAGAUAUCAGGAGGAACACCGGUGGCGAAGGCGGGUCUCUGGGCCGUAACUGACGCUGAGGAGCGAAAGCGUGGGGAGCGAACAGG